GCGUGAGAAUCUGCCCUCAGGAGGGGGAUAACGGCUGGAAACGGCCGCUAAUACCCCAUAUGCCGAGAGGUGAAAUGAAAUUCGCCUGAGGAUGAGCUCGCGUCUGAUUAGCUAGUUGGUGGGGUAAAGGCCUACCAAGGCUUCGAUCAGUAGCUGGUCUGAGAGGAUGAUCAGCCACACUGGGACUGAGACACGGCCCAGACUCCUACGGGAGGCAGCAGUGGGGAAUUUUCCGCAAUGGGCGAAAGCCUGACGGAGCAACGCCGCGUGAGGGAUGAAGGCCUCUGGGCUGUAAACCUCUUUUAUCAAGGAAGAAGAUCUGACGGUACUUGAUGAAUAAGCCACGGCUAAUUCCGUGCCAGCAGCCGCGGUAAUACGGGAGUGGCAAGCGUUAUCCGGAAUUAUUGGGCGUAAAGCGUCCGCAGGCGGUCUUUUAAGUCUGUCGUCAAAGCGUGGAGCUUAACUCCAUUACUGCGAUGGAAACUGGAAGACUAGAGUGUGGUAGGG
rnacentral:rRNA from 1 species